UGAGUUCAAUCAUCAAAGGUACCUAGAAAG
rnacentral:piRNA from 1 species